CCGGAGCGCACGGGGGCGGGGAUUGGGAUCCCGACGCCGACGGCCCCUUCGCCGCCGGGAUUCCCCCCACCCACCCCAGACCCGGGCAGACCCUCUCCAAGCGCGGAGAGCCGGGCGGCGGGGGGUCCGGGGCCCAGGCGGGGAGUGCCCCACCCGAGGCCAAGCCGGCGGGAAUUCGAGUUCCCGGGAAUCCAAGUUGCCGCGCGUCCGGCCGCGGGCUGCGAGCGCCGCGCGGGGCCGGGCCGGGCCGGGGGCAGGGCGCGGGGCGCGGGGCGCAGGGCGCGGGGCAGCCCCGGGCGCUCGCCGCGGGCGCUGGCCGAGCCGGAACAAGUGGCUCUCGGCGGCCGCAACUUUCCGGGCGCGCGGGCGAGGUGCGGAGAAGGCGAGGGGCGGGGAGGGAAGGGCGGCGCGGCUGUCGGUACCGUGUGCGUGUGCGGAGAAGCGCCGCGUCGCGCCCCGGCUCUGCGCUCCUCCGGGCCGGGCCCCCCCGGGCCGCCGGCUCCGCUGCAGGCCACCGCCGCGUCUCGCCGCCGGCGCCGGGCUCCCCCGCGUGUCGCCGGCAACUUCAGGCGCGCCGCGGGCUCCGACGCUGCGCGCCCCGAUCGCCCCGAGGCUCCGCGCCCCCGCGCUCCAUGCCCGGGCCCGGCCGCCCCCGCCCCGCCCCGCCCCGCCCGGCUCAGCGCCCGGCUCAGCGCCCGGCUCAGCGCCCCGCCGCCGUCGGACGCGCCUCCCCGCGCAGCCCGCGCCCCUCUCUCCCGAGCCGCCGCCGCCGCCGCCGCUCAAGUCGCCGAUCAACUUUCCGUCGCUCCCUCCGCCCCGCGCGGCCCCCGCCCCCGCCCCCGCCCAGACCCCGCCCCCUGACGCGCCCGCCCGCGCGGCCCCGCUCCCCCCGCCGCGGCCCCCGCCCCGCCCGCGCCCCCGCCCGCGCCCCGCUCCGACCCCGGGGGCCGCGCCGCCGAGCCGCGCCGGGCGCUCAGGCUGCGCACGGUCGAGCUCCGGCCGAGAUGCCCUCCGCGGACGUCAUGGCACCGGCUGCCGCGGCGACUCGACGAAUCCCCCCAGGGGGCAGCGAGGGCGCCCGCGGCUGCGGCCCCAGGAUCGCUGAGCAAGGAGCGGGCCGGUCCCUCGAAGUCCUUGAGGCUGCUGCUGCGCCCCGCUUGGCCCAGCCCGCCGCCCUCGCCCAUCCCGCCCGUGCGCGCCCACCUGCCCACCUCCCUCCUUCCGGCUCACAAUGCCCCUAG
rnacentral:lncRNA from 1 species